rnacentral:rRNA from 1 species
UACGUAGGGAGCAAGCGUUGUCCGGAAUCAUUGGGCGUAAAGCGCGCGUAGGUGGCUCUAUAAGUCCGUUGUGAAAGUCAAAGGCUCAACCUUUGAAAGCCGGUGGAUACUGUGAGGCUAGAGUACGGAAGAGGCGAGUGGAAUUCCUGGUGUAGCGGUGGAAUGCGCAGAUAUCAGGAGGAACACCAAUAGCGAAGGCAGCUCGCUGGGACGUUACUGACACUGAGGCGCGAAAGCGUGGGGAGCAAACAGG